rnacentral:ribozyme from 11 species
AGAAAGAAGGAAAGAAAGGAAGGAAGAACGAAAGAAAGAAAAAGAACGGGUCAACGUCAUUCCGCUUCUCUGAUUUUUCGCUUCUCUUUCAUAUUUUGGGUUGUGUCGUUGCCGUGCCUCUUUUCUCUCUCUCU